rnacentral:rRNA from 1 species
GACGUAGGGCGCGAGCGUUGUCCGGAUUUAUUGGGUGUAAAGAGCUCGUAGGCGGCUUGUCGCGUCGAAUGUGAAAACCCGAGGCUCAACUUCGGGCUUGCAUUCGAUACGGGCGGCCUCGAGGGGGGUAGGGGCACCUGGGAACUGUGGGUGGAGCGGUGAAAUGCGUUGAUAUCCACAGGAACUCCGGUGGCGAAGGCGAGGUGCUGGACCCCUCCUGACGCUGAGGCGCGACAGCGUGGGGGAGCAAACAGG